GUAGGUUACGGGGAUAUGAGACCUAUUGGGGUGUGGGGCAAGUUAGUGGGAUCCCUGUGCGCUAUUGCUGGUGUCUUAACUAUAGCUCUCCCUGUUCCAGUCAUUGUGUCAAAC
rfam:Lottia gigantea unplaced genomic scaffold LOTGIsca_86, whole genome shotgun sequence.